AUUGAACGCUGGCGGCAGGCCUAACACAUGCAAGUCGAGCGGUAGAGAGAAGCUUGCUUCUCUUGAGAGCGGCGGACGGGUGAGUAAUGCCUAGGAAUCUGCCUGGUAGUGGGGGAUAACGUUCGGAAACGGACGCUAAUACCGCAUACGUCCUACGGGAGAAAGCAGGGGACCUUCGGGCCUUGCGCUAUCAGAUGAGCCUAGGUCGGAUUAGCUAGUUGGUGGGGUAAAGGCUCACCAAGGCGACGAUCCGUAACUGGUCUGAGAGGAUGAUCAGUCACACUGGAACUGAGACACGGUCCAGACUCCUACGGGAGGCAGCAGUGGGGAAUAUUGGACAAUGGGCGAAAGCCUGAUCCAGCCAUGCCGCGUGUGUGAAGAAGGUCUUCGGAUUGUAAAGCACUUUAAGUUGGGAGGAAGGGCAGUAACUUAAUACGUUGCUGUUUUGACGUUACCGACAGAAUAAGCACCGGCUAACUCUGUG
rnacentral:rRNA from 1 species